GGGCAGCGACUGAGGUAUGGUCACGGAGGAGAGCAUCAAGCAUGGGUGAGAAGGUGAGUGGAGGGAGGAGGCCUGUGGUCUGUGGGGGCCGGGCAUGGCAUGCACUUUCUUGGCACUAGGUUCUAAGGGCUGUUUCACAGACAUGCUUGUGGCAGCAGCUGCAUCUCGUAUGCAGACCUUGGUUGGAAGGCUGUUAGUGUUGACUCUGCUUGUGUUGAAGGUCUGGAACUCCAGUCUUUCAGCUCUCUUCUUGCUCUCUUUCCGGACUUGUCUCUUUGCGCUGCUUGCAUGCUCCCCUCAGUCUGAACAGUCGUGGUGGAGGUGACUCACGGCUCCCUAGGAGCCAAUGUGUUUCCUUUUCCUUAAUCAAUGUAGGAGUAGUUUCUCUCCCUACCUACGUUU
rnacentral:lncRNA from 1 species